GACGGAGGAUGCAAGUGUUAUCCGGAAUCACUGGGCGUAAAGCGUCUGUAGGUGGUUCGAAAAGUCCACUGUUAAAAAUUGAAGCUUAACUUCAAAGAUGCCGUGGAAACUUUCAAACUAGAGUGUGGUAGGGGUAGAGGGAAUUUCCAGUGGAGCGGUGAAAUGCGUAGAUAUCGGGAAGAACACCAGUGGCGAAAGCGCUCUACUGGGCCAUAACUGACACUGAGGGACGAAAGCUAGGGGAGCGAAAGGG
rnacentral:rRNA from 1 species